rnacentral:rRNA from 1 species
GACGAACGCUGGCGGCGUGCUUAACACAGGCAAGUCGAGCGGUAAGGCCUUUCGGGGUACGCGAGCGGCGAACGGGUGAGUAACACGUGGGUGAUCUGCCCUGCACUGCGGGAUAAGCCUGGGAAACUGGGUCUAAUACCGGAUAUGACCUCCUAUCGCAUGGGGGGUGGUGGAAAGAUUUAUCGGUGCAGGAUGGGUCCGCGGCCUAUCAGCUUGUUGGUGGGGUAAUGGCCUACCAAGGCGACGACGGGUAGCCGACCUGAGAGGGUGACCGGCCACACUGGGACUGAGACACGGCCCAGACUCCUACGGGAGGCAGCAGUGGGGAAUAUUGCACAAUGGGCGAAAGCGUGAUGCAGCGACGCCGCGUGAGGGAUGACGGCCUUCGGGUUGUAAACCUCUUUCAGCAGGGACGAAGCGCAAGUGACGGUACCUGCAGAAGAAGCACCGGCUAACUACGUG